AAUGAUGUGCCUGAAAAAGGAUUAUAAUGAUAAAAUAAAAUAUAUUACAAAUAUGUAAUCUUCAUUA
rnacentral:tRNA from 1 species